rnacentral:rRNA from 1 species
AUUCCAGCUCCAAUAGCGUAUAUUUAAGUUGCUGCAGUUAAAAAGCUCGUAGUUGGAUUUCGGGUGGGAAUGGCCGGUCCGCCGUUUCGGUGUGCACUUGCUACGCCCACCUUGCUGCCGGGGACGUGCUCUUGAGUUUGCGCUCGGGACACGGAGUCGGCGAGGUUACUUUGAGUAGAUUAGAGUGUUCAAAGCAGGCCUACGCUCUGAAUACAUUAGCAUGGAAUAACACGAUAGGACUCUGGCCUAUCUUGUUGGUCUGUAGGACCGGAGUAAUGAUUAAGAGGGACAGUCGGGGGCAUUCGUAUUUCAUUGUCAGAGGUGAAAUUCUUGGAUUUAUGAAAGACGAACUACUGCGAAAGCAUUUGCCAAGGAUGUUUUCAUCG